rnacentral:ncRNA from 1 species
AUAUCAUAUAGAAACUCGUAUAAAAUCGGAGAUAAGGUCCGAAAGUUUCUACCUGCUAGCCGUAAAUUAGCAGACUACGAGGUAAGCUUGUUU